CAUUGUUGAAAAUCACCACUGGCCUUGGUCAUGGCCUGGGUUGAGAUUUCGUGCCCAGAACCACCAGGGGCCUCGGCUCACCUCCCGCUGCCAAGGUGUGGGAUGGUGAAACCCAGGCCCAAAUAAUG
ensembl:snoRNA